AAAUAAUACAAGCAAAUCUCUCAGAACUGAAUGGCCUUCAUUUCCAGAAUGUGUAAGCAUCUACUAGGUAUCCAAUAUCAUGGAUGAAAAUAGCUCUAAGGCACAUCAUUAUGAAAGGAUGAUUCCAGAAACUUUCUAAGAGAGAAGAGAUGUCACCAGUAAAUGAUCAGGAAUCAGAAUGACUCAGAUUCUUCAACAGAGAUGGUAGAAGGAGCAGGACAAUGGGCUGUAUUUUCAAAAUUCCAAGGAGAAAUUGACUUCCAACCUGUGAUUUGCCACCAUCAAGGUAGAAUAGAAACAUUUUCAGUCAUGAAGGUCCCAAGAACUCACCUCUCAUUCAGAUAAAUAAAGAGUUAUUGGACAUUAGUCUUCACAAAAAAUAAGAGUAUAAACCUAAAGAACAGAAACCUG
rnacentral:lncRNA from 1 species